CGACUGAGGCCGCGGCUCCUGCUUGAUAUCCCGUAUUGCCUUUUCAAUUAUUUUAUUUAUCUUUCUUCCUUUACAAUGUGUAAGCUUUUUAGGAUGAGCGAUUGCCUCAAAUCAUAAGCACACACCAGGGAAAAAAAAAAGAGAGAGAGAAGAGAGUGUACGCUUCGUACGUAUUUACAUUGAUGUUUUCAAAGAGCGUGAUAUGUGGUGAGGAAUUGUGACACUCUACAGGCCUAUCUUCCAAUUUACUGGACACCCUUUUUGGCAUCAAGGAUGAUAAAAGCUUAAUUUAUAAGCAAAGCUUAAUUUAAAGUAACUCC
rnacentral:lncRNA from 1 species